CUGGCCAGGACAAUGCCCUCCUUUCCUUCCUUCUAGGAGCUGUGGGCCUGGUGGAAGAGGACGAGUCUGACUUUAGUCAAAGGAUUUGACAACUGGAUGUGGAAUCAAGGGCUGGAGAAAUGGCUCAAUGUUUAAGAACAGUGUCUGCUCUUCUAGAGGUUCUGAGUUCAAUUCCCAGCAACCACAUGCUGGCUCACAACCAUCUAUAAUGAAAUCUGAUGAUCUCUUCUGCCAUCCAGGCAUACAUGCAAAUACAGUGCUCAUAUGUAUAAAUAAAUAAAUCUUAAAAAAAAAUAAUGGAGUCAAAGCUCAAUGUGUCUAACUGUUUGGCAGAGUGCCUCUCAGUACAGAGGAAACAGGCUCGAAGGGUGCACAGCUGGGACUCAAGCACUCUGAAUCGAGAGGCUGGAGGACUGAAAGCUCAAGUAUAGGGAGUUCAGGGCCAGCCUGAGCCAUAUGAUACCCUGCCAGAAACAAAAAGCAAGCUCAGUGUGUUGAACUAUAUUCAACUGAAGGUCAGAGAGUACAGAUGGUGACAGAGCUGUUAGGAAGGGGUAAUGACAGAUUUGGCUCUUGUCUCAAUGAUUUAGCUAUGGUGGUAUUAAAAAAGAAAAACUUCCCAACUUCUAUGAAAUUCCCUAAUUAUAAAUUUUUCUUUUAUACAAUGAACUAUUCCUGAUUUUGCUUUGAAAAUUGGCUGUGAACUUGUAGAAACUUGUAUCAAAAUUUAGAAAAAAUGCUAAUGAAUUUCAGUGGAAAUCUCUGUGUACUACUACAAUACAAUGAUGUUAAUUCACAUUUUUUGCAUUAAAGACUAUUCUCAACUUUAAGUGUUUUAAAUAAAUGAUUC